rnacentral:rRNA from 1 species
ACGGAGGGUGCAAGCGUUAUCCGGAUUUAUUGGGUUUAAAGGGUCCGUAGGCGGCCUGUUAAGUCAGUGGUGAAACCCUAUAGCUCAACUAUAGACCUGCCAUUGAUACUGAUAGGCUUGAAUGGGAGUGAAGUGGUUGGAAUGUGUAGUGUAGCGGUGAAAUGCUUAGAUAUUACACAGAACACCGAUUGCGAAGGCAGAUCACUAACUCUUGAUUGACGCUGAUGGACGAAAGCGUGGGGAGCGAACAG